rnacentral:lncRNA from 1 species
AAACAUUUUCCUAAGGGACUUGAGCACAGCGGGCUUUGGUGUCUUGAAGAUGUCAUAGACACAAACACCAUGGCUCUACAGGGCCAACCAUAUAUGGGAAGUACAGGUAGAAAACUCCAGCCCUCUGUGCCUGUCUGCCUGAACCACCUCCACCCUGGCCACCUCCCCUUGAAGAGCUGGCUGGAAGUGAGACCACAGCAAUUCCAUUUUCCAAUCUCGGUGCCUGGUGAUUGCACUAGCGAUCACAUCACAUCCCAGGAUGGAAGUGACCGCCACGGCCCAGAAAGCAGCAAGAUGUGUCCUCUGCCAGAAUUGGGCAACACUUUAUUCCACAGAAAGGAGCAGUGGUCCUAACGGAUGCAGCCAAGGAGCUGGGUUUUACAGGCAGAGAAAGCUGAAGAAAGCAGAAACCAAAGAAGGAAAAGCAGGUCAGUGACUUCAGAAUUACUUUCCUCAUAAGGCUGGACAGGGGCACAAUAAGGAACAAUAGGAAAAUGACUGGUUGAUGUCGCUGAGGUUCCCUCAUGUUACUUUGUGUGAGGAUCAAAGGAUGUAAAUGUGGCAGAGGAAACUUCUUUUUCUUGCCAAGCAAAACCACAUCUGGGAAGUCUCUUGUUUCUCCUGGUUUCUCAGAAGGUCAGAUAACAGCAUAGUUUCAGUUUGCUGACAUGGGACUUGGCAUAGGUGACUCCAUCUUGGUUUUUCACCUGGUCCCUUGGGGCACAAUUCCAGGGCCUAGUCCAACCCG